AUAUGGGAAUCACAAAGUUACGUCACUGGAACGUUAUAUGGUACGUCGCUGCGACCAAUAUGGUACUUUAUAGUAACGUUCUCAUAACGUGCCAGUUUGGUCGUCAGGACAUACUCAUCACGUUCCAGCAACGUUCCACUAUAACGUCGCCACGACGGAUAUGGGAAUCACAAAGUUACGUCACUGGAACGUUAUGUGGUACGUCGCUGAGACCAAUAUGGUAUUUUAUAGGAACGUUCUCAUAACGUGCCAGUUUGGUCGCUGGGACGUACUCCUCACGUUCCAGCGACGUUCCACUAUAACGUCGCCACGACGGAUAUGGGAAUCACAAAGUUACGUCGCUGGAACGUUAUUUGGGACGUCGCUGCAACGAAUAUGGUCUGGUCCAGUUACGUCGUCACAACGUAACUGUGUUAGCUGGGACGUUAGUUGCAGUAUGCGAGAAGCCACUAAAGAGACUAAUGAUAUUAGCAGCAGCAUAACUUUGAGCAAGAGCUAAAAAGAGUAGUUAAAGAAGAUAAAAGUACAAAUAUGCUUUUAUUUCUUUGAAUUUUGGUCAGGGUUUUUUCUAAUGCUGGAACUCCGAUCAUUUCAAUGUGAGGACGAUGCAAGUUGGCGAGCCAACCCACACGAGACGAACGUUGACCAGUUGAAUCUAACCCAGGAACCGGAAUUAGAUGCGAUAGGCCGGUUCGGUUUCUCCAUGCUCUGGAGUUUGGGAGGAGGAACGGUAGGAGUGGAGUUUUGUCGCAGCCCAUUACCCACAGAAGAAGAGGUUGGACUGCCACUCAGAGUCGAGCUGUAGG